UACGAAGGGGGCUAGCGUUGCUCGGAAUCAUUGGCGUAAAGGCGCAAGCGUAGGCGGAGUUCGUUUAAAGUCAGGGGGUGAAAAUCCUGGAGCUCAACUCCAGAACUGCCUUUGAUACUGGCAAUCUCGAGUCCGGGAAGAGGUAAGUGGAACUCCUAGUGUAGAGGUGGAAUUCGAUAGAUAUUAGGAAGAACACCAGUGG
rnacentral:rRNA from 1 species